rnacentral:rRNA from 1 species
UACGUAGGGGGGCAAGCGUUGUCCGGAAUCAUUGGGCGUAAAGCGCGUGUAGGCGGCUCGGUAAGUCCGCUCUGAAAGUCCGGGGCUCAACCCCGGGAGGCGGGUGGAUACUGUCGAGCUCGAGUCCGGAAGAGGCGAGUGGAAUUCCUGGUGUAGCGGUGAAAUGCGCAGAUAUCAGGAGGAACACCGAUGGCGAAGGCAGCUCGCUGGGACGUGACUGACGCUGAGGAGCGAAAGCGUGGGGAGCGAACAGG